UGAACCUUUUUUACUAUGUCAACACAAUUUUGAAUCGAAUCUCUUUCAACUAUGUGACUGAAAGAGAGAGAAUAAUUAAUAAAUAAAGAUCAACAUAGAAUUUCACCAAAUCCCAUUUUCAUUUCCCCCUUUUUAUUACUCAUUUUUUUAAGUAAAUAAAAAUUCCAUAACUGAACCUUUCCUAAAAUUCCUAAUCUCCUCUUCAAUUUCACAACCUUCCGCCUUCGGCUUCAGCCGCGCCGCCGCCUUCGCCUCCGAUUUCAGCCACGCCACGACGCCUCAUUUGUCUCCUACGCUGUUAGCGCAAAUCCACGUCGUUUUCAUUUUUCGUUUCUUAGUUAGGUUUUGUUGAAUUGUAGUUUUUUAGUUCUCUUGCUACUUCCAUGGAUAUUGUGUGUGUUUGACAUCAAAAAUCAUGAAAUUAACUUAGUAUUGAGUGUUUCAGGUCUAUUUUGUGGUUUUGAUUGUUUGGCACUUCGAAGGACUUUUUGUCUAAGAGCAAAAUUUGUGGUAAGUUCGAUGUUCUUCUUUUAGUUCUACAUUCCUUAUUUGUUUAUUUUUUUUUUUUUCUUAAUAUAAAUGUAUAAAAGAAAGUAGAGCUAUUGAUUCUUUCUUUGCCUUGCAUAAUUUAUUUGACUGCAAAUGUUUUAAACUUAUUUCUAAGUAUGGUUGUAUUUGUUUUGGCUUAUUUACUGUCAUAGGAGUGUUCCUGUGAUAUAGUUUUGGUUUUCUGCUAGAUUUUUAUUGGAUUCAUAACAACCUUGUAAUAAUUGGUGUCUUAAUAGCUUGUGGAGUUUUUUUAUAGGAAGAGAGAUCUUGAUAAAGAAAUCAUGACAUCUUGAAAAGGUGCAAUUCAAUGCAACUCAUGAGGCUACACAGUGGAGAUUUUGAAAGGACUCAAAUUUUGUUUUAUGUUUUUCUGUCUUGUGUAGAUGGUUUUUCAAUUCUUGCUUUCUGUUUUGCUUAUGAUUUUGUCUAUGUCAAAUUUGGUUCUGUUUUGCUUGUGUAGAUAGUUCUUUCAAGCUAUUUGGUGUUCCUCUUUGCGGAAAAAAGAGAUUGCAUCCAGUGUUUGGGUCAUGAUGAAUAAAUUGACAAGGAAGCUAUCUAAAAUUCCAGAAAAGGUCAGAGGAGAUAGAAUCUUCCUUUAGUAUAAGACUUUUAUUAGGCAACUAUGACUUUUGUGUUUUAUAAUAUCACAUUGAACUAUAAAUGUUUGAAAUACAUGUAUAUGAUUAUAUUUUUAAUGGAGAUUCGAGUACUUUGAUAAAAUUAA